rfam:Phytophthora nicotianae strain race 0 contig3284, whole genome shotgun sequence.
ACCACCGUAGCUUAAUGGAAAAACUCCCGAAAGGGAAGAAGGGGGUUCGAUUCCUCCCGGUGGUA